GUAGAGUUCUUGCUUAGCAUGUAUGAGGCACUGAGUUUGAUCCCCAGCACCACAUAAAAAACUAAAUAAAUAAGGUAAAGGUAUUGUGUCCAUCUACAGCUAAAAAUAUUAAACAAAAAAAGCCCUCAUUUCCUAAAGGUCGACAGCACUUCCCAAUAAUGGCACACUGGGAUACUCUGGACCUUUCAAGGUCACUCUUCCAACCUGUAGCAUCAUAAAUGGACUCAUACAGUGGAUACUGGUGUUUGAUUUCUUUAAUUCAACAUGUCUGACUGACUAAUCCAUUCAUAUUGAAUGGAUAAGUAUCUGUUCUCCAGCUGGUAGAUUAAUAAUGAUGUGUCUGAGUUUCAGCUGCCUUGGUUUCUCUUGAAACCAAACAUGAGCAGAACUGCUGAAUCAUAAUGUAGGUUAACUCAUGACAGUUCCAAAACAAAUUACUUUUACACUCCAUCAAUGUAUGGCAGUUGAAGAUUUCAUAGGUAGAUGAUUGAUAGAUAGAUAGGGAUAAAUAUAUGAAAAAAAAAUGUUUCCCCUAAUGUAACAUCUUAUAUUACUACGGUAUUUUUGUCAAGACGAAAAAUCCCAUGGCACAUACCUAUAAUCCCAGCUAUUCAGGAGACUGAAGGAGGAUUGCAAGUUCAAAGCUAGCCUCAGCAUUUUAGGAUUUAGGGAGACCCUGUCUGCCUAAGUGUGAAGAAAAAAGGAAAAAAUACAAUGAGAUCACUGGGGCAUACUAAUUUCCAGAACUAAUAGACUAACACAGAGUCACUUGAUCUAUGAUAGGCUCCAUUUACAACUGGGAAAUGGAAAAUUUUUUAAAAAAAUUCUUUCAGUGCUGGGUUCCUCACACAUACUAGAUAAGUAUUCUACUAUU
rnacentral:lncRNA from 1 species